GUGACGAGGAAUAGAAAAAUAGAAUGAACCUUAGAAAGGGAAGACGGAAGCCCAAGAUGGAGUCAUAGAAUGUGAAAAAGUCCAGAGCUGUUCCAAAAGCAUAAUGCACAUGCAGAAAAGUGCACAGCUCAAUGAAUUUGCAUUAAAAUAAACACACCCGUGUAAUCAGCACCCAGAUCAAGUAACUGACUACCAGAACCCUAGAAGGCCUUCUAGUCACUCCAGAGUAUGAGCUAAUUCUUCUUGGCUCCCUGCCUGUCUAUUUGGAUGCUGUUAUAAUCCUCUUCCAUAUCUUAAGCUGAAGCAUGGUUACCUUCUGGCAGCCUGAAAAGAAUGCAGAGUGAGCCAGCUGGCAAGGAAUGUCACCCCUGCAAGAUUUCUUCCCAGUGUUUUACAAAGCCACUGUCCCAAGGGGCCAAAGGUUAUUUGGCCUUUGUCCUUGCCUCCUUCCUGGCAAACAGCCAGACUCCAUAUCCAUAUCCAAGAGGCGCUUGCCAUUCAGAGUAAAAAUUCUCCCUUUUGCCUUAGUCCACUUCAAGAAGCAUUGGGAAAGGAGAGUCAGAAGACUGGGCUAACCCCUCACUCUUCUCUGGAAGAGUUCUGGUUAUCUAUUGCUCUAUAAAAUAACCCCAGCAAUCAUUGACUAUUGUCAUCUCUCCUGAUUCUGGUGAGCGACUGGGCUCAGCCAGGUGGUUCUCAUGCAGGGUCUCUCAGCUGGCUUCCAUGAGACAGAGAUGAGGGA